rnacentral:lncRNA from 1 species
ACCAUGCCAUUCCCCUCCCACCAUGUGCUAUGCCUCCCCCUAAACCAUGCUUACCUCUUGCCCGGCCACGCCUUCCCUAUAAAUGAGGAGCUGAAUCUCCUAAGGCCUGGAGCCAAAAUAAAUCAUUCUAUAAGGUAUUUCGCUAUAGUGGCCUGAAGCCUAACUAAUAUAGGCUCUCUGGGGUACACUUCUUUGAGUCUCUGGACCACUUUCUGUUUCAUCUCAUCAUCCUUUCUCAUCCAUCUCCCUGAGAAGCAGGGAGCAUCCCCGGGCUCCAGAUGGAAAAUGCCACUGAGAUGUCUGCCACAGGAGAGAGUGGGGGGUUGGACAGCUGAGAUGAUACAGGCUUUUCUUAGAUGGCGAUGUUCACAGCCUGCUGGCCACAGGGUUCGAGGGCCAAGAAAGCCCUCUUUGUUCUGGGCAGACAGUGCAAAGCCUCGUUGCCAUAGCAGCCACAGCCACUUCCUGUACUCAUCCUGGACAGCAGCUCAGCUGGGUCUUGGUUCAGGCCCUGAGAAGCCCACAGCAGAGUUCAACAGGGCUCUAAGCACAUCAGAUGGACCACACAAGCCAGCUGCGGAUCCUCCUGAACAGACCAUAUGACGUAAUCUUUGGAGAUCAACUAGAACAACACACAGGCUUCUUCUGGUCAGAGCCCACAGAACUCUACAGUAGGCUGCCUGCUCUCCUCUGCCUCUCCCCUCUUGCUCGCUGUUCCCCAGCUACUGCAUCAUUUCCUGUUGCUAUUCAGACCUGCUGAGGAUGCCCCUAGGUUGGGACUUUCGUCUUUGCUUUUUCCUUUGGGCACCCAGUUCUCAUAUAUGGUUCUGGUUGCCUUCUCCGGUCCUCUGAGCUAAUACAUGUCUCUGCACCAAUGAUCCCCUAACCAUUCUUUCUAUUUUCUCUCUUUCACAGCAUUUGUUGGUGCCUAAAAUGAUCUCUUAUGUGUUUGUUUUCUAUUUCUACCCGUGCUAUGCACUAGAUUAACGUCCAGCCAAAUAAAGACCUAGAUUUGGCUUGGAGCA